UAGGGAAUCUUCCACAAUGGGCGAAAGCCUGAUGGAGCAACGCCGCGUGUGUGAUGAAGGGUUUCGGCUACGUAAAACACUGUUGUAAGAGAAGAAUGACAUUGAGAGUAACUGUUCAAUGUGUGACGGUAUCUUACCAGAAAGGAACGGCUAAAUACGUACCAG
rnacentral:rRNA from 1 species